rnacentral:rRNA from 1 species
CCUACGGGAGGCAGCAGUGAGGAAUAUUGGUCAAUGGGCGAGAGCCUGAACCAGCCAAGUCGCGUGAGGGAAGACGGUCCUAUGGAUUGUAAACCUCUUUUGCCGGGGAGCAAAAAGCGGUACGUGUACCGCAUCGAGAGUACCCGGAGAAAAAGCAUCGGCUAACUCCGUGCCAGCAGCCGCGGUAAUACGGAGGAUGCGAGCGUUAUCCGGAUUUAUUGGGUUAAAAGGGUGCGCAGUGGGCGGGUAAAGUCGACGGCAAAAUUUCGGGGCUAAACCCGGACGCGCCGUUGAAACUGAUUUGCUAGAGUGGGGGAGAAGUAUGCGGAAUGCGUGGUGUAGCGGUGAAAUGCAUAGAUAUCACGCAGAACACCGAUUGCGAAGGCAGAAUACCGGCGCCCAACUGACGCUCAGGCACGAAAGCGUGGGUAUCGAACAGGAUUAGAUACCCGGGUAGUC